rnacentral:rRNA from 1 species
AGCCAUGCAUGUUUAUGUAAUAAAGGACGAAUAGCUCAGUAAAACUGCGUUUAUUUAAUCUGUUUGAUAUGAUAACUACGUGAAAAUGUAGCUAAGCGAAUAGAAUAAGACGUAGGACUAUCAGUUUGUUGGUAGUGUAAUGGACUACCAAGACUAUAACGGUUAACGGGGAAUCAGGGUUUGAUACCGGAGAGGGAGCCUGAGAGAUUGCUCCCACGUCCAAGGACGGCAGCAGGCGCGAAAAUUGCCCACUCUUGUAGGAGGCAGUUAUGAGACGUUUUUAAAUUUUUUGUAAAAAGAAAGAUAUUAAUUGGAGGGCAAGUUUGGUGCCAGCAGCCGCGGUAAUACCGACUCCAAGAGUGUGUAUGAGAGAUGCUGCAGUUAAAAAGUCCGUAGUUUUUUAGAGGAACCAAUGGGGAUUAUAGUAUACAAGGGCGAGAGAUGAAAUGUCAAGACCCUUUGUGGACUAAGUGAGGCGAAAGCGAUAAUCCAGUAGGUAUUCAUUGAUCAAGGACGAAGGGUGGAGGAUCGAAAGUGAUUAGAUACCGCUGUAGUUCCACCAGUAAAAUAUGCCGACAUGUUUUUUGAGAACAAGGAACAGGGAGAAAUCUUAGAGUUCGGGCUCUGGGGAUAGUAUGCUCGCAAGGGUGAAAAUUAAAGAAAUU